rnacentral:rRNA from 1 species
AUACGUAGGGGGCGAGCGUUGUCCGGAAUGAUUGGGCGUAAAGGGCGCGUAGGCGGCUUUGCAAGUCAGUAGUGGAAGUCCAUUUUUCAAGGAUGGAAGUGCUACAGAAACUGCGGAGCUUGAGUGCAGGAGAGGUUAUCGGAAUUCCCGGUGUAGCGGUGAAAUGCGUAGAGAUCGGGAGGAACACCAGUGGCGAAGGCGGGUAACUGGACUGCAACUGACGCUGAGGCGUGAAAGUGUGGGGAGCAAACAGGAUUAGAUACCCUGGUAGUCCACACGGUAAACGAUGAAUGCUAGGUGUAGGAGGUAUCGACCCCUUCUGUGCCGCAGUAAACACAGUAAGCAUUCCGCCUGGGGAGUACGGUCGCAAGAUUAAAACUCAAAGGAAUUGACGGGG